GGCGUGCGCCGCUAGUAGCCGGGCAGGCCGACGGUCUGGAACGUGUUCAGCUGGCUUAAUACAAAACACAUCAUUCGAAACCAAGUUUAAACAAAUACAGGGGGUUGACAUCUCUUUCACAUUUGAAAGUAAAGAUGCCAUCUGCAACCGCUGGCGACUAUGCUGUUCUGUCCUCCAGUCCAGAGCUGGGCUCUGCCUUGGCGUCGUCCACGCCGUCCGAGGCCCUCAAACAAGUGUUAAACAUCAUCGAGAAGAAGGUCCGGAACAUGGAGAAAAGAAAGAGCAAGCUGGACGACUACAAGAUGCGUAAGGAUAAAGGCGAAAGCCUAAAUCAGGAUCAGCUGGAUGCUCUGGCUAAAGCUCAAGAGGUGUCGCAUAACUUGGAGUUUGCUCGGGAACUUCUGAAGAGCUUCUCAAGUUUGAACGUGGAGAUCCAGAAGGCGGUGAAGAAGACGGCACGGCGAGAGCAGCUGAGGCGAGAUGAGGCGGAGCAGAGGCGUCUAAAGGCGGUGUUGGAGGUGCAGUACGUGCUGGAUCAGCUUGGUGAGGAGACUGUAAGGCAGGAACUUCGGCAGAUCGAACGGGGAGGUGACGGACCUCUGCUCACUGAGGCGGAGCUUACUGCCCUUGAUGACUUUUACAAGCUGGUCGGCCCUGAGAGGGAUCCUAAUGUCAGGUUGACUGAGCAGUUCGAAGAUGCCUCUGUGCAUUUGUGGGAGCUGUUGGAAGGAAGAGAUAAAGCUGUUGCCGGAACCACUUACAAGGCCCUUAAGGAGACUGUAGACAAGAUACUACUCAGUGGUUACUUUGACCAGACACAAACACACCAGAAUGGGGUCUGUGAGGAGGAGAGGGUAGAAGAUGAAGAGGAGGAGGAGGUGGAGGUUGACGAGCAGCAGCCCGUACCUGCUGAGUCGGCAGAGUGUGAGGAGCAGCCAGCAGAGCCAGAAGGUUCUGUUACUCAAGAAUUCACAGAGACUAUCGAGGUGGAAGCAACAGAGUUUGUAAACCGAAAAUUCAUUCCAGAAACCACUUACACCAGUACUGAAAAAGAACAAGGAGGUGAAUGGGCUGUUAAUGUGGAGAUGGUAAGCUCCCUCCAGCAGCAGCAGCAACAGGCGCCGCAGCAGCAACAGGCGCCGCAACAACCCCCUUCGUCGAUGACCCCUGCGCUAGUGACCCCAGAUACCCACACGCUCAAUCCCGCAAUCCCUCCAUCAACCGACCCUCUGGUCAGGAAGCAGGUUGUGCAGGACCUUAUGGCUCAGAUGCAGGGCACAUACAACUUCAUGCAGGACUCAAUGCUGGAGUUUGACGGGCAGCCACUUGACCCUGCUAUAGUAUCUGCUCAGCCUAUGAAGUCAGCACAGAUUAUUUGUGCCCCCGCUCAAACAGAAUCCAGACUUUCUCAGCACAGCACAGUUCCUGUACAUUCAGAACCCAACCAAGUUUCCAUGGUAUCUGCUCCUGCUGAAGCGUAUACCCCUACACCUCCACUCUACCAGCCUCCUCACAGCUCAGACCCUCGGCCGCCGAGCGACACCAUGGACCCGCUCCAGGUGUCCAUGCCCCUGUCAUCUGAACAGCCCCCUGCCCCUUCCACCCAGCCGCAGGCCUUUCAGUCCGUCUCCAAACCCCUGCACAGUGGCAUCAACGUUAACGCUGCACCAUUCCAGUCCAUGCAAGCGGUGUUUAAUAUGAAUGCCCCAGUUCCACCUUCGAGUGAACUGGAAUCUCAAAAGAUGUCCAACCAGUACCAGAGCACUUACUCACAGAGCUUCAGCAGCCAGCCCUCGCACUCAGUAGACCAGCAGGAGCUUCAGCAGGAACCUCUUCAGUCAGUUGUCGGAGCGUUCCACACUCAAGACCAAGGCAUUCCUUCUGGGGGCCACCAGGCAAUGUCUCAGCAGCCAUCGGGACAGGGCACGGGUUUCGGGCGCCAAUCACAGUCCUUCUACAGUACCAGAGCUGUACCACGCGGCGGACCUAGAAACGCAAGAGGGGGCAUGAAUGGUUAUCGUGGCCCCUCUAAUGGCUUCAGAGGUGGAUAUGAUGGCUACCGUGCUCCCUUCCCCAACACUCCCAAUACGGGUUAUGGGCAGACCCAGUUUAACACUCCACGGGAUUACCCUAGCAGCACCUACCAACGAGAAGGAUAUCAGCCGAACUUCAAGAGAGGAGCUGCCCAGGGAGCUCGAGGGAGCUCUCGAGCACGAGGGGGACCAUACAAGCCAAACAGAGGAAUGGGAACCAUGGCUAUACCACAGAGUAGCUAACCACAACCCAACAGGCCUACAUUUUCACCAUCACACCACACUUACCCUCUCUUCCUCUGGUACCCUGGACUUGGCUUGAGCUCUUGUCAGUCCAUGUAGCAAGUUUAGUUCCUGUCUGGUUGUUUUGAAAUCCUGCAACCAUACUGGCUGGCUGUAAAUAAACCUUUACACAUAUUCUUGGCAUCGGGCUGAAAACACUUGGUAGGAGUUUAAAUAAUUAGCUGUAGUACGGAACACUUUCACAGACUAUGUAUGUGGCAGUUAGAGCUGUGCAUGUACACUUGAGCAUGUGCAAACAUAUUACAAUCAGUGGUCAGUCCUGUCUUACACCACACACUAAGGCUGCCUUCACAUGGACAUUGCUGGCUUUCAUGAAACAAAAUGAUGAAAAUGAGAUUUUAUGUGCUGGACUGUGCAGCUUAAACGAGUUAGUUUUCCUUCACUGAUUUAAAUGCAUGAAAAGGUUCCAAACAGCACUAUUUUGACACAUGGAUAUGUAUUGGUGUACAUGAUGGAUUAAUGUGCCAUUCUCAUUCGGUUUAACUGUACAGUGGUACCUUGUAACUCAACGACCCCUAAACUCAAAAUCUUUGAAACUCAAUGCCCUUCAUCAAGAAAUUUGUCCCCCUAAACUCAACAUGUGUGCGACUGCUGCUUUGUUCAGCGCUCGGCUUGAGCGGUGCGGUAAAACGUCAUGCAAACGAGACGAAUCCGCAUUUGUGUGGAAUAACCGUCAAAUUCACUCUGAAAGCUCCACAUGUAUCUUCAGCAGUGUUUUUUCAUGUUUUACUUUUAAACUUGUGUUACAGCUCUGGGUUCUGAGAAACUGUAAGAAUCAGCUUUUCCGAAAUAGUCUAGCUUAUCAUUAAAAAAAAUUUUUUAACUUAAUGUAUUAAAAGAACAACAUAGAAACACUAAACCUCUCUUAAUUACUGCUUAUACAGUAUGUUCUCUCCACUAAAUUUUAACUGCUUUUCAAUUGUAUUUCAGUGUUUAUAUAUUAUAUUUGUGUUAUUCUCAUUGUAUAAUUGUCAAAAACAACCUUAUUCUUUACAUUAGACUAAAAUGUAUGCAGUUCCACAGGACCACGGAACGCAUUAACUGGUUUCCCAAACAUUCUUAUGGUAAAAAAUACCUUAAAACUCAACGCCUUUUAAACUCACCGCAUGUUCCAGAACCAACUGAUGUUGACUUUCAAGGUACCGCUGUACUUGCAUUCGUCUCUGAUUUCAAUAAUGUCCAUGUGAUUAAACAUCGGACAUCUCUGGCAUGAGCUUUUUAUUGUGAAAACAGCCAGGGGGGCACUGGGGCUGAGAGAAUUUUCACAUACAUCUGUAUUUGCAAAUGAAUUUCUAUAGACAUUUGAAAGUGUGAUGGCCAAAAUUGUUCCAAAAAGGACAAGUACACAUGCACUGGCAAUUUAUUAUUAUUUACUUUUUUUUUUUU